rnacentral:rRNA from 1 species
GAUGAACGCUGGCGGCGUGCCUAAUACAUGCAAGUCGAGCGAACAGAUAAGGAGCUUGCUCCUUUGACGUUAGCGGCGGACGGGUGAGUAACACGUGGAUAACCUACCUAUAAGACUGGGAUAACUUCGGGAAACCGGAGCUAAUACCGGAUAACAUAUUGAACCGCAUGGUUCAAUAGUGAAAGGCGGCUUUGCUGUCACUUAUAGAUGGAUCCGCGCCGUAUUAGCUAGUUGGUAAGGUAACGGCUUACCAAGGCAACGAUACGUAGCCGACCUGAGAGGGUGAUCGGCCACACUGGAACUGAGACACGGUCCAGACUCCUACGGGUGGCAG